rnacentral:rRNA from 1 species
AAUUCCGUUAACGAACGAGACCUUAACCUGCUAAAUAGCAAGGCUUAGCUCGGUUAGGCCGUCAGCUUCUUAGAGGGACUAUCGGUGUUUAACCGAUGGAAGUUUGAGGCAAUAACAGGUCUGUGAUGCCCUUAGANGUUCUGGGCCGCACGCGCGCUACACUGAUGAAGUCAACGAGUUCACAUCCUUUAUCGGAAGAUAUGGGUAAUCUUUUGAAACUUCAUCGUGCUGGGGAUAGAGCAUUGCAAUG